UUGGAGUUUGCAGUGUCCUUGUACACACAAUGUGUUAAUAACAGUACACCUUGUGUGUGUGUUACAAGACAUUAAGAUAAUGCUUUGUGGAGUUUGCAGUGUGCUUGUACACACAAUGUGUUAAUAACAGUACACCUUGUGUGUGUGUUACAAGACAUCAAGAUAAUGCUUUGUGGAGUUUGCAGUGUCCUUGUACACACAAUGUGUUAAUAACAGUACACCUUGUGUGUGUGUUACAAGACAUCAAGAUAAUGCGUUGUGGAGUUUGCAGUGUCCUUGUACACACAAUGUGUUAAUAACAGUACACCUUGUGUGUGUGUUACAAGACAUCAAGAUAAUGCUUUGUGGAGUGUGCAGUGUCCUUGUACACACAAUGUGUUAAUAACAGUACACCUUGUGUGUGUGUUACAAGACAUCUAGAUAAUGCGUUGGAGUUUGCAGUGUCCUUGUACACACAAUGUGUUAAUAACAGUACACCUUGUGUGUGUGUUACAAGACAUCUAGAUAAUGCGUUGUGGAGUUUGCAGUGUCCUUGUACACACAAUGUGUUAAUAACAGUACACCUUGUGUGUGUUACAAGACAUUAAGAUAAUGCUUUUUGGAGUUUGCAGUGUGCUUGUACACACAAUGUGUUAAUAACAGUACACCUUGUGUGUAUGUUACAAGACAUUAAGAUAAUGCGUUGAGUGUGCAGUGUCCUUGUACACACAAUGUGUUAAUAACAGUACACCUUGUGUGUGUUACAAGACAUCAAGAUAAUGCGAUGUGGAGUUUGCAGUGUCCUUGUACACACAAUGUGUUAAUAACAGUACACCUUGUGUGUGUUACAAGACAUCAAGAUAAUGCGUUGUGGAGUUUGCAGUGUCCUUGUACACACAAUGUGUUAAUAACAGUACACCUUGUGUGUGUGUUACAAGACAUCAAGAUAAUGCGUUGUGGAGUUUGCAGUGUACUUGUACACACAUUGUGUUAAUAACAGUACACCUAGUGUGUGUUACAAGACAUUAAGAUAAUGCUUUGUGGAGUGUGCAGUGUCCUUGUGCACACAAUGUGUUAAUAACAGUACACCUUGUGUGUGUGUUACAAGACAUCUAGAUAAUGCGUUGUGGAGUGUCCUUGUACACACAAUGUGUUAAUAACAGUACACCUUGUGUGUGUGUGUGUUACAAGACAUUAAGAUAAUGCUUUGUGGAGUUUGCAGUGUCCUUGUACACACAAUGUGUUAAUAACAGUACACCUUGUGUGUGUGUUACAAGACAUUAAGAUUUAUGCGUUGUGGAGUUUGCAGUGUCCUUGUACACACAAUGUGUUAAUAACAGUACACCUUGUGUGUGUGUUACAAGACAUCAAGAUAAUGCUUUGUGGAGUGUGCAGUGUCCUUGUACACACAAUGUGUUAAUAACAGUACACCUAGAGUGUGUUACAAGACAUCUAGAUAAUGCUUUGUGGAGUUUGCAGUGUCCUUGUACACACAAUGUGUUAAUAACAGUACACCUUGUGUGUGUGUUACAAGACAU